rnacentral:rRNA from 1 species
GAGUUUGAUCCUGGCUCAGAAUGAACGCUGGCGGCGUGCUUUACACAUGCAAGUCGAGCGAGGCGUAUGGGCUUGCCCAUACAGUCGAGCGGCGAACGGGUGAGUAACGCGUGGAUAUCUACCCUGAGGUGGGGGAUAACCCGAGGAAACUCGGGCUAAUACCGCAUGAUACCGCGAGGUCAAAGAGGGCUUCGGCUCUCGCCAUGGGAUGAGUCUGCGUCCGAUUAGCUAGUUGGUGAGGUAAUGGCUCACAAAGGCGACGAUCGGUAGCCGGCCUGAGAGGGUGAUCGGCCACACUGGAACUGAGACACGGUCCAGACUCCUACGGGAGGCAGCAGUGGGGAAUUUUGCACAAUGGGCGCAAGCCUGAUGCAGCAAUGCCGCGUGUGUGAAGAAGGCCUGCGGGUUGUAAAGCACUUUUAUUAGGAAAGAAAAACCCGGAGUUAAUACCUCCGGCAUUGACGGUACCUAAAGAAUAAGCACCGGCUAACUCUGUGCCAGCCCACGGUAUCAA